UGCCCAGCAACUCCUAUCCCUACCUUCUCGUGGUACUGGCCGGGGUACGUGUAACCUUGGGGAAGAUCGGGUAACCAACCCCCGGUGGGAACUUUGGUCGUAUGCUGACAGGGAAGG
rnacentral:ribozyme from 1 species